rnacentral:misc_RNA from 1 species
GAUGAAGAACGUAGCGAAAUGCGAUAAGUAAUGUGAAUUGCAGAAUUCAGUGAAUCAUCGAAUCUUUGAACGCACAUUGCGCCCGCCAGCAUUCUGGCGGGCAUGCCUGUUCGAGCGUCAUUUCAACCCUCGACUUCCCUUUGGGGAAAUCGGCGUUGGGGACCGGCUGUAUACCGCCGGCCCCGAAAUGAAGUGGCGGCCCGUCCGCGGCGACCUCUGCGUAGUAAUCCAACUCGCACCGGAACCCCGACUUGGCCACGCCGUAAAACCCCCGACUUCUGAACGUUGACCUCGGAUCAGGUAGGAAUACCCGCUGAACUUAAGCAUAUCAAUAAGCGGAGGA